rnacentral:rRNA from 1 species
GGGGGUUCCUUGAGUGUAGGCUUUGCCUGCUAUCUCUUACCCAUGUCUUUUAAGUACCUUACGUUUCCUCGGCGGGUCCGCCCGCCGAUUGGACAAUUUAAACCAUUUGCAGUUGCAAUCAGCGUCUGAAAAAACUUAAUAGUUACAACUUUCAACAACGGAUCUCUUGGUUCUGGCAUCGAUGAAGAACGCAGCGAAAUGCGAUAAGUAGUGUGAAUUGCAGAAUUCAGUGAAUCAUCGAAUCUUUGAACGCACAUUGCGCCCCUUGGUAUUCCAUGGGGCAUGCCUGUUCGAGCGUCAUUUGUACCUUCAAGCUCUGCUUGGUGUUGGGUGUUUGUCUCGCCUCUGCGUGUAGACUCGCCUCAAAACAAUUGGCAGCCGGCGUAUUGAUUUCGGAGCGCAGUACAUCUCGCGCUUUGCACUCAUAACGACGACGUCCAAAAGUACAUUUUUACACUCUUGACCUCGGAUCAGGUAGGGAUACCCGCUGAACUUAAGCAUAUCAAUAAGCGGAGGAA